GAUGAACGCUGGCGGCGUGCUUAACACAUGCAAGUCGAACGGUGAACACGGAGCUUGCUCUGUGGGAUCAGUGGCGAACGGGUGAGUAACACGUGAGAAACCUGCCCCUGACUCUGGGAUAAGCGCUGGAAACGGCGUCUAAUACUGGAUAUGUGACGUGACCGCAUGGUCUGCGUUUGGAAAGAUUUUUCGGUUGGGGAUGGGCUCGCGGCCUAUCAGCUUGUUGGUGAGGUAAUGGCUCACCAAGGCGUCGACGGGUAGCCGGCCUGAGAGGGUGACCGGCCACACUGGGACUGAGACACGGCCCAGACUCCUACGGGAGGCAGCAGUGGGGAAUAUUGCACAAUGGGCGCAAGCCUGAUGCAGCAACGCCGCGUGAGGGAUGACGGCCUUCGGGUUGUAAACCUCUUUUAGCAGGGAAGAAGCGAAAGUGACGGUACCUGCAGAAAAAGCGCCGGCUAACUACGUG
rnacentral:rRNA from 1 species